AGUGAACGCUGGCGGUAGGCCUAACACAUGCAAGUCGAACGGCAGCACAGUAAGAGCUUGCUCUUACGGGUGGCGAGUGGCGGACGGGUGAGGAAUACAUCGGAAUCUACUUUUUCGUGGGGGAUAACGUAGGGAAACUUACGCUAAUACCGCAUACGACCUACGGGUGAAAGCAGGGGAUCUUCGGACCUUGCGCGAUUGAAUGAGCCGAUGUCGGAUUAGCUAGUUGGCGGGGUAAAGGCCCACCAAGGCGGCGAUCCGUAGCUGGUCUGAGAGGAUGAUCAGCCACACUGGAACUGAGACACGGUCCAGACUCCUACGGGAGGCAGCAGUGUGGAAUAUUGGACAAUGGGCGCAAGCCUGAUCCAGCCAUACCGCGUGGGUGAAGAAGGCCUUCGGGUUGUAAAGCCCUUUUGUUGGGAAAGAAAAGCAGCAGGUUAAUACCCCGCUGUUCUGACGGUACCCAAAGAAUAAGCACCGGCUAACUUCGUG
rnacentral:rRNA from 1 species